rnacentral:miRNA from 1 species
UGGUACGCGGGGAGAGGUUACCCGAGCAACUUUGCAUCUGGACGACGAAUGUUGCUCGGUGAACCCCAUCUCGGUAUCA